rfam:Bathycoccus prasinos genomic : Mitochondrion.
AGGAGAAUAGUUCCAACGGUAGAACAGUGGUCUCCAAAACCAAAGGUUAAGGGUUCAAAUCCCUUUUCUCCUG